ACGGUGGAGAUGCUGCCAGUGCCAACAAACAAUAGCAGAUAUCAUAAUAAAUGAUUUUAAAGGAUCUGUUUUGCACCGCUUCCAAUCUAGCAGGAGAGAAAAACAAAUGAGUUGACAGAUUUGCUGCUGAGCAAAAGUUAUUGUCUGCGUGACACCGCACAUCUGCGCCUCAGCAUGCCUUUUCUGCAGACCAGUGAGUCAUUAGGAGAGAUAAGAUGAGUCCCAGAUGUUGAAGAAACAUGGUAGCACUUCGUGGAUUACAACUGGGACAAAUAAAAGCCAACGUUUUAACGUUUAUUGGGCACCACAAGAGGUCUGCUUCCUUAUUUAAUGUCCAGAUGGGAACAUACCUUCCUGGUUUGAUGGUGACAUCUGGCUCCGAGCCCUGGUUUCCCAUCUUUCCAGUGGAUGUGGUCACGCCGUACCCACCAGUCCUCAGCAGGAACCGACCACCAGGCCCAGUCCUUCCAGGGAAGCUGAUGGAGCUGAAAUUUUCUGUAAUCUAAAGGCAAAUCCCUGUGCUUUCUAUAUCCAGUUUUGGCACCCUACCCUGUGCUAACUCCCCAUGACAAAGCAAAAGCUAAAUCCCGUGCCCCCAUUGCAGUGAUCUACCAGGUGACAAUAACCCAUCCUGGAAGUGCCUCGAACUCUGCCACGGAUGGAUAUGUUAUCAUCUUCCUGCUGCAGAAAGGCUCGCACUUAAAUGGGUGAAACAUUGCUA